GGGAAUAUAGAAGAUCUGUACAAUGCUAUAUGAGAAGUAAAAUUUGUAUACAGUAUAAAGUUUUUAUGUUGUGUAACAGCACCCUUACAAAAGAACACAUCCAUAUAUGGAAAAGAAUUGUGGACAACUUAAUAUGAUGACGUUCAAAAACUAGCGAUGAAAAUAUCUCGUCCUUGACUUCUGUCUUUAGAUCAGGCAAUCAGCUGGCUGCCAAUAGUCAUAUCCAAUUACUUUACAUAGGCUUCAAGCCUUGAAUUUGAAGCUUGGCAUGCAAGUAUUUCUGCGGACCAAUAAUCUUAAGGCUUCUUGGUGGACCUGCAUGCAGAUAUCAAACACUGAAAUUCCUCAUGACAUACUUGAAAGAAAAUAUAUUAUCUCAUUCUCACCAGAUAUCAAGAACCACAGAGUAGUUGUUACUGCAGAAUAUAGAGAACCAGCAGUAGAGGAGGAUCUUGCCACUAUAAUCUUCAUGAUGUAGGUAUUCUUGAUAACCUCCAAUCCAAUCUCUAGAGUCUAGACAACACAAAUGCACCCAUGAAUUUUACUUCUAGACUGCAAGUGUCAAUGAUUUCAUAAUCAGCAGAAUCAAUGGACAAUGCAACGAGCAUAUUCAAUCGUCCUGGAGGAUGCAAAAAUAAAGGUUAAUUUAAAGAUACAGAUUUUAAUUUAUUUCAGUAAAUAAAACGUUAUUAACAAAACCUAACCCAAUGUCUCGAUACAGCUGAUCAAUCCUGUUCCUUAGAUCCAAUCCAUCUAUUCCGACUGAUCAAUACUUCACGUGUUUCCACUUGCUCUUAACCAUCACAAUAACAAUUUGCUUUGUCCUUGGUCCACUUCACUUUACAAGGUCUAGACUCCUCAAACAAAACAAUAUUCAGAUUAUCUUCUCAGUAUAAAUUGUGAGUUGGCAAUUAAUCGGGAUCAAAAGAUUACUUCAAAUAGUUAACACACCUGGUGCAAUGUUGGCUUCCGCAAAGAGCAGCCCAAACUUUUGUAUGAAAUACCUUCACAUGAAUCUGCCUCAAUACAUCUACAUGUGUCCAAGUUCAGCUCUUAUAAGUAAACAAAAAAAAAAGAAUUUUAUCAAAUGAACGAGGCAGUAGAAGUCCACAUUAUAGCAUGCAUUGUGGAUCUGGGCUAACCAAAAGAAAUUUAGGAUGUAGUCAGAAUGUGAAUCUUAUUACAUGCACAAUAAAUACAGAAACAAAUAUCUAAAUGACUAAAUCCAUAGCAUUUGAGGUCUGAAAAAGGUCAAAAAGCUUCUAAUAUCACUUCUUUAUGACCUUUACAUGGAAGGACAGCACCUUCACUGAUUCAGACAAAAAUAUGUGUAUCUUUGUGUCUUUUACAUUUUUCGAUAAUAUAAGAACCAGCGAAUUUUAUUAGGACACUGGACACCAUUACAUAUACAUGUCGGAAAGCAGUGUGAGUGCCAAACGUACAAAACUUAUUCUGAACUUUCCAUCUUGGAUGUUGCUCAGACUUUUCCAUUACAUUUACCCACGAGUCAGUGAUAAAUUACAACAUGAUAAGGAAAAUUGCUGAUUGCACUAACCAACAGAUUGUUUGUGCUGUUUCUCCGCUGGUAUCAUCAGUGUCCUAAGGGGUCGAUUAUUUUUUAAAAGAACUGGGUGGUCAUAAAACAAUGAAUGAGAUCACUCAUAGUGUUAUUAGUAAACUAGGUAACUCAGACAUUGAAUACUCUACAUAAAAUUAUGUUCAGAACUGAAUAUCUAAGCAAACAUAGAAGAACU
rnacentral:lncRNA from 1 species